AUUGAACGCUGGCGGCAUGCUUUACACAUGCAAGUCGAACGGCAGCGCGGGCUUCGGCCUGGCGGCGAGUGGCGAACGGGUGAGUAAUGCAUCGGAACGUGCCCAGUAGUGGGGGAUAGCCCGGCGAAAGCCGGAUUAAUACCGCAUACGACCUGAGGGUGAAAGCGGGGGAGCGAAAGGCCUCGCGCUAUGGUAGCGGCCGAUGUCGGAUUAGCUAGUUGGUGGGGUAAAGGCUUACCAAGGCGACGAUCCGUAGCUGGUCUGAGAGGACGAGCAGCCACACUGAGACUGAGACACGGCCCAGACUCCUACGGGAGGCAGCAGUGGGGAAUUUUGGACGAUGGGGGCAACACUGAUCCAGCCAUGCAGCGUGCGUGAAGAAGGCCUUCGGGUUGUAAACCGCUUUUGUUCGGGAAGAAAUCCUCUGGGCUAAUACCCCGGGGGGAGGACGGUACCGGAAGAAUAAGCACGGGCUAACUACGU
rnacentral:rRNA from 1 species